GACGAACGCUGGCGGCGUGCCUAAUACAUGCAAGUCGAACGCAGUGGGGACGGGCGAGUAACACGCGGGUAACCUCCCAUCAGAGGGGAUAACACUUGGAAACAGGCGCUAAACCGACACUGAUGGAUGGAUCCGCGGUGCAUUAGCUAGUGGGUGAGGUAACGGCGAACCAAGGCCACGAUGCAUACCGGACCGGAGAGGGUGAUCGGCCACGCUGGUGCUGAAACUCGAGCCAGACUCCUACGGGCGGCAGAAGUGGGGAAUCUUCGGCAAGGGACGAAAGCCUGACCGGGCCACGCCGCGUAUGUGAAGAAGGUUUUGGGAUCGUAAAGCUCUGUUGUUAGAGAAGCGGUAUCAACCCAGAAAGCAACGGCUAACUACGUGCCAGCAGCCGCGGUAAUAC
rnacentral:rRNA from 1 species